rnacentral:lncRNA from 1 species
AUGAAGGUGGUAAAAAGAGAGUUGUGCAGGCAUAGACAUCAAGAAAUGGUCCAGGACCAGGCUCAGGUGUAUGACAGUCCAGAUGGAUCUCAGCAAGUGUGCUCACCAGUACAGCUGGGCCAAGGAGGAGGCCAUCUCCCAGCAGCACAUCCACAGAGGUUGGUCCAUGGUCAGCAACCCCAGGGGCUGGACCCUGUGCAUGUCCAGAGGCAGACAGCCCAAGGAGGUAUGGUCCCAAACAUGGAACCACAGCAAAUGGAUGAUGGGUGGGAGGCCCCAGAGGUGACAGUGAAGGUGCGGCCUCAGAAGCUGAGCCAGGGGUGGGAGGCCCCAGAGGUGACAGUGCAAGUGCAGCCUCAGAAGCUGAGCCCAAGGUGGGAGAUGCCGGAGGUGACCGUGCAAGUGCAGUUACAGCAGAGGGGCCGAGGACCAGCUCUCCCACAAGUCACUGUGCAGGUACAGCCACAGGUCCAGGGACAGCGAAUGGCUGGCAUCAAGGUCACUGUGCAGAUGCACUCGGGCUGUGAACCAGAAGAAGUGACCCGUGUCCAGGACCAAGGUGAGGAAGUAUUAGAGAAUGGAGAGCAGCUGAUUCAAAAACAAAACCAGGGAGAUUCGAUGGCAAGAUCUGAAGGUGAGAGAGAACUGGCUGAGAUGGAGCUGGUGCCACAGGGGGCUUGGAAUCAAAAGCAGGAUCAAGAAGAAGAGGUGAUAAAACCCCAACAAGAACAGAGCCAAAACGGGGAAAGAGCAGAAGUGACAGAACUGCAGGAGAUGCGGGUUGAAGACCAAGCAGGCCUGGAUAGGAUGGUGACAGAAGAGAAGCUGCAGGACCAGAGCCAAGAGCAGGAAAAGUUAAAAGCAGACCUGUCACCACAACAGGAAGGUCAAAGAGAUACAGAGAUGAAACAGGACCAAAGUGAUGUCCACAUCCAAGAAGGGUUCAAGGGGUUGGUUGAAGAGCAACAGGAAGACCUGGAGCAAGAAGUGCCUAAGAAACGCCCACGAGAAACUCCAAAUUACUUUGUCUCUAUACCAAUCACAGAUGAUCAGGUACUUUAA